rnacentral:rRNA from 1 species
GACGAACGCUGGCGGCGUGCUUAACACAUGCAAGUCGAACGGAAAGGCCCUGCUUUUGUGGGGUGCUCGAGUGGCGAACGGGUGAGUAACACGUGAGUAACCUGCCCUUGACUUUGGGAUAACUUCAGGAAACUGGGGCUAAUACCGGAUAGGAGCUCCUGCUGCAUGGUGGGGGUUGGAAAGUUUCGGCGGUUGGGGAUGGACUCGCGGCUUAUCAGCUUGUUGGUGGGGUAGUGGCUUACCAAGGCUUUGACGGGUAGCCGGCCUGAGAGGGUGACCGGCCACAUUGGGACUGAGAUACGGCCCAGACUCCUACGGGAGGAAGCAGUGGGGAGUAUUGCACAAUGGGCGGAAGCCUGAUGCAGCAACGCCGCGUGCGGGAUGACGGCCUUCGGGUUGUAAACCGCUUUCGCCUGUGACGAAGCGUGAGUGACGGUAAUGGGUAAAGAAGCACCGGCUAACUACGUG